rnacentral:rRNA from 1 species
UGCGUAGGCGGUCGGGUAAGUCUGAUGUGAAAGCUCGGAGCUUAACUCCGAAAUGGCAUCGGAUACUAUUCGGCUCGAGGAAUGGAGGGGAGACUGGAAUGCUCGGUGUAGUAGUGAAAUGCGUAGAUAUCGAGCGGAACACCAGUGGCGAAGGCGAGUCUCUGGACAUUUCCUGACGCUGAGGCACAAAGGCCAGGGGAGCAAACG